rnacentral:lncRNA from 1 species
CCUCCCCGGUGUCUGAGGCAGCUGAAGCCUGUCAAGCCCUACACCUCAACAAGGCAAUUCAGCCAAGAAGUAAUCUGCCUUUCAAAGGCCUGGCCAUCACUCCUUGGCUACUUCUUGUUGCAUGGGAAUAAUCUCCCUUCUUGUUGAUGAGCCUUGAAAGCCACAAAGGACAAACAUCAAAGAACACAUUUUCCUUACAAACAUUUUGCAUUUUGAAGAUUCUCCAGCAGGACCAGUGGCUGUGUGGGAGCCGGAGCAGCCGAGGCAGAGCAGGAUGGUGGAGCUGUGGGCCUGGGCACGAUCCAGAGCGUUCCCCAGGGCCCCGGUCUGCACUGCGUCCCGCAGGGCCCCCGACAGCACUGCCGUGCCCGUCAGGGUGACCCAGAGGUGCCAGGACCAAGAGCCAAAUGACAGCGAGGCAUCGCACAAUGGAAGUGCGCAGAAUGUCAACUUGUAUAACCCAGCUGGAGGUAUGAUUGCCUUUCACAUUUUGCUCAAUGUCUGUAAGAUUUUCAACUUGGUAAUUCAUUUUUUCAGCAUAUUCUUGGGACAGGGGAUCUCUUGUGUUCAGAGAUCUCAACUGGAGGUGGGAUGCCCUCAGGUGAACCUUGCAGUCUCUUGUCACUGCACUUAGCCACUGGUUUGUUUUCCCCUGUGAAAACCUGCUAGUCCUUCCUUCUUGGCAUAUUGGUUGAUGGGAUGCAACUUGGAGCAUUGAGGUCAAGGUUUGGACUACUCCUAAAUUCACAGCCUUGGUAGCUAAGGUUUUCCUUUUGGAGUAUCUAGGCACUGUCAUUAUACUUUAAAUUUAAAUGGGUAAACCUAUGCAGCCUUGAGAAUGUUUCAUAGAGAAUUUCAUAGCUUCAGUGUGGGAAACUUUGCUUGAUUUAAUUUUUUCUCUGGGUCAUUAAUAAGUGAGUGUUGCCACAACACUGUGUUGGGUUCUUUUCAAGGAAAUUGAAAGGAAGAUAUUGAUGUCAUCUUCCCCAUGGAUUCCAUCAUUUCCCCCAAAGCACAAUGCACUUAGGUGAUGUCAUUUGUUAUUAAUCUGUUCUCAAUGCUGUUUCCCCAAAGAGCCGGGCUCCAGGCAGACUCGAGGUGCACAUUCCCCUUACAGGCACUCAGUGGUGCUGCCUGCAGCAGUGAGCUGAGCCAGGUACAGCCAGCUGCCCUGAGAAAAGCAGGCUCUCACCUGGCUGUGGCUGCACUCACCUGCCUGCAGGGACUUCCCUGCCACUGUAAGUGCAGCUCUUGCUCUGCCUUAGCCUACUGCAGAGCAUUUUAAACUAGCGCCAUGGUGGCUUUUUGCAGAGACAAAACUAAACUUCACAUUUCGCAUUGGGGACAUUCUGUUUCACAUGUGAAUGAUGAUUUGUGUGAUUCUUGGUGGUGGUGUGCACAGAUCCUAAGGGAAUAUUUAGCAUUCGGUAACUGGGGUGUGAGGACUGGCAGUAGUGAGACAAUUGUGGAACUUGGCACUGCUUUGGCUUUAGGCUGGCACAGAGAAACUCAGGUGAGACAGGUCUGGUUGCUGCUAGGGUACAGGGUGCCUUUGCAACAUGCUCCAUGCUGUACCAGUUAGGGACUGGGCUUUGUCACAGAAUCAGAGAAUCAGAAUCAGACUUGGAAGGGAU